rnacentral:tRNA from 1 species
GGAGGAUUAGCUCAGCUGGGAGAGCAUCUGCCUUACAAGCAGAGGGUCGGCGGUUCGAGCCCGUCAUCCUCNA